GCGCGGAGCCGGGACGGGACGUCGGCGGCGGGGCGGGGCCGCGGCCGGCGUGGGCGGGGCCCGGAAGGGCGAGCGCGGAGCCGGGACGGGACGUCGGCGGCGGGGCGGGGCCGCGGCCGGCGUGGGCGGGGCCCGGAAGGGCGAGCGCGGAGCCGGGACGGGACGUCGGCGGCGGGGCGGGGCCGCGGCCGGCGUGGGGCGGGGCCCGGGGAGUUGAGCGCGGAGCAGGGACGGGACGUCGGCGGAGGGGCGGGGCCGCGGCCGGCGUGGGGGCGGGGCCCGGGGAGGGCGAGCGCGGGGCCGGGCCGGGACGUCGGCGGAGGGGCGGGGCCGCGGCCGGGGCGCGGCCGGCGUGGGGCGGGGCCCGGGCGGGGUGCGUACGGAGGUAGGAAGAGGCGGCCGCAGACUUUCCGGUCGGCCCCUCGUUCGCUGCCGCGCGCCGGCCGGCUGGCCGCUCGGGUCGGUUGGCGGCUGCCUGGUGUCCGAGGGAUCCGGCCGCUGCUUCCCCACUUCCGGGGAGCCGUUUCGGGCAGUUCCAGACAUCCCUUCCUGGAGCCUGGGUCCCCACAACAUACCCACAACAAGCCAGGCAUACUCAGUCUCUAGAAGCCUCUGGGCUAUGCUGGCGUGGAGUGCCCUGCACAAUCCAGUGUUUCUGCUGAUCUUGCAAUUCCUCUCAUUCUGGAGUUGACCUCCCAGUCGUCCCUGGAGACCUCAGGCAUCAUCUCAGCCUCAGACAGCGCCUCCUCCUCCUCCUCAGUCUCCACCACAUCCGUGGCAGCCUUGGGCUCACACGAGCUCUGUGUCUCAGGGUCUGCAACCACAGCUCCUUGCUGCCACUCUCCAUCCAGCAGGUGGGCGAUGCUGCCUCAUCCUCAUCAGCCUGGACAUGAAGAUUGGCACCAACUACAAGAGCUUCCUGCUGAACUGGGCAUGUGGGGCAUCCCUUUGGUCCCCUCACUCAGACCUCUCUGGGUACUGACCUCACUGGAACAACUACUCUGACAAGAAGCCAUGUCUGGACCUUCCAGGUGGCAUGCCCAGGCCUGGAAGGAUGCAGACGACCACCAUGAACGCCACUCUACACUGGAGGAAACUGAGGCAGCUUCAACACCCCUGGCUGGUGCUUGGAUACCCAUGCUUGAGUGGGGGCAAUAAUAUGCCCACCAAGCUCCUUCCAAAUCUGGGGUGCUGUGGCUCUGAUAAGACUGCCCGGAUUGUGUCCCCUGACUCCUUGCCCCCCAUCCAGAGAGCCCUGCAUGAUCUGGUAGGUGCUCUCCCCAGCGUGCACUCCUCACCCCAACCAGCCUCCUCCAGGGAGCCUGCCAAGCCUUUGCCCCUCAGAGCCCCCUGCCAUCCCCCCCCAUGGCCCCCAUCCAGGAUGGCCUCACCUCCAAGGCUGGGCUCAAAGGCCACUUCCUCAGGCUUCUGUGCAAGCUCAGGCUUUGGGUCAGAUUGACCUGGGUUCAAAUCCACAGCAGGGCCAUGUCACAGCCCUGUGACUGGCAAGCUCCUAUGGGAACUCUUGGGACCUCAGGUUUCUACUUUGAAGAUGGGGUCAGUGACUCCCACCUCAGGAGGAUGUGUUGGGGAUUAAAGCAGGGAGAUGAAGGUGUUUGAGUGCCGGAUUUUGGGGAGAGGGGCUGCUGCCAGGAAGACAGGGGGAGGGGAUGUAGAGGAGGAAAAGGCGGCCUGACCUCCUCCCUGCCCAGACGUGUCCCCGUCACCCUCCCCUGACCCCGCCAUGCACCGAGACGAACACUGGAGUGGAACGUGGGGGCCAGGACGGCAGGGUGGGGGUUAUAUUUCAUUUCUAUUUAGUCCCCAGGUCUCCAUGUCCACUCAGUCCAGCGGCCCUGCUUGGCGAGAGUGGGGCUGGCCCCGGCCUAAGAGGACGUGAGGGUCAUUGAGCAGGCAGUGGAGAUAGGGACACGUGGGACCAACCCCACAGGGAGCCCCUUGGUGUUGCGCAUGCCUGCUGGGAGGUGGGGUCCCGCGCAGGCGCUGUCUGCUCGGCCGCGUGUGCGCCUGCGCAGGAUCCACCUGCCGCUCACCGACCGUUGGUGGGAGGGCCCCGCCCACCCAGAGUGCACCUGCGCCACGUCCACCCAAAAGGUGGGAGCCCACCGGCCACGCCGAACCACACUAAUGAAGUUCCUCCUCCAAGCCCUCAUGGGACAGUCGGCAAACUGAGGGCAGGAGAGGCAGGGACUGGCCUGGGACCCACCAGGUGAGCAGAGGCCAGAGGAAUGGGGAUGGUCCUGGCUUCCGAGGCCAGGGCUUCACCUCCCAUGGGGUUUUCUUUGGGAAUGAGGGCCCCUAAGAUCCUGGGGGACCCCUGCCCACACUCCCAUGUGGAGCCCUUUCCUCUGGUCAUCCUCGCAUGGGCACACAUACACACAAGGCUCUGCGUGCGCGCACGCGCGCGCAGACACACACACACAAACUAACUCCCCAGGGGGGUCAAAGGGGGCGUGGACCCUGGAGGUGACAAGGGGGAAAGAAGAAGGAGGUUGGAGGCAGCUGGGCCGUGGGGUGUGUGCAUUGUCUCCUGGGAACAUGCCCGGGGCUGUAGCAUGGGGCUCGGGGGAGACCUGCCAGGCUGAUGGCCAGGGCGUCCCCAAGAUGCCCAAGGGUUGUCACGGCACCCGCAUUCUAGAGACAGCCCCUUCCUACUCAGUUCACUUGGCUGGAGAUGCUUCAAUCCUGCUGUAUCCUGAUGUCCCCAGGAUGUGGUCUCAGCAAAGCCGACAGUGAGAGCCGUUUCCUACACUGCAGACCUGGGGUCAGGUCUCACCCCUGACACCUCUGGCCAUUUGGCUGGAGGGACCCAAAGAGCCCCUUGGAAGCUGCAUUUUUUUCCUGCUCCUGCACCUGGCUCCUCACAAUGGGCAGACGCGGUGUUUGGAGGCAUCUCCCUCCCUCCAGAGCUGCUGAUGCAACGAGUGAAGUGGCCUGCAGCUCAGAAGCUGCUGCUGCAGGUGACCCCCAGCUGCAGGUGGUCUGUCCUCUGGCUCUGGAGCUGCACUGGCUCCCACUCCUGGACUUGGCUCCUCGAAAUCUGCAGUUGGAGAUGUCUCUGAUGGGUCAGAUGGGUUCACAGCUGCGAGAGGACAAAAGCUCACCCCCGUGCCUGCUCUCCGUGGGCCUUUGCAGAGACAGAGCCCAGCCCAGGGCCUCCCAGAGAAGCCACAGCCAGGAAGGAACCCUCAACGGGGACGUCUCCCCGACUGCAGUCCACUCGCUGGGUGCUCUGAGCCCAGUCGUUCCUCCUGGCCCCACACCAGCCUCUGGGGGCUCCUCCCUGUGGGGCCAGCCCUGACCCAUCUCCACACACCACAAACACCCAGCCCCAGCCUUCUCAGUCUGGGGCUCAGCUUCGGUGGGCUCCGGCUCCUGGACCACAGUCCAGUGACCAACCACCUGGGACAGUGGUCUGGGUGGUGUUGGAGGUCUUCCUCGGCAAUCCCCAGCACCUGCUCCUGAGGACCCCUGUGGGGUCACUCCCUCUGUCAGGGAGGAGGGCAUGUCCGCCAGCCGCCUCUCCAUGUCAUCCGUUGACUUCUGCAAGGACAGGGACCGGUAGCCGGCCCCGAGGCAUCACAGCCUUGCCCAGUCAUCCUCACUGUCCUCCUGCCCAGUCCCCCUGCUGCUCCCAGAUCAGACACACCCGUGUGUGCACAGCCCAGAGCCUCCCAGAGAAGUCGCAACCAGCAACCCUCAUCAGGACCUCUUCCAGACUGCAGUCCACCAGCUGGGCGCUCUGAGCCCAGUCUUGGCUCUUGUUCCCAGCCUCUCAGGGUGUCUUCUGGUGGGGCCCAGCACCUCCCCAUCCCCAGACACCCACAUAUACCCACCCCUGGUCUUCUCAACCUUGGGCAUGACCUCUGUGGGUCCAGGUCCUCCAGCAGAGUCCAGGGAAGUGGACAUGGCGCUCUAGGUUGGAACCGGGCAUGUUGAGCUGCAUAUAGGCCACCAGCUGCUUGAGGCAGGGAAAGUCUGGGGCUGACAAGUGCUCUGAGUCCUGGUCCAGCCAGGGGCCCAGAAUGGAGGAGAUGGCCCUGGAGGUAGAAGGACAAACAGCAAAGUAAGUGGUCUGGCCCUUCCUUCCACCCAGCCCCCUGGGGCAGCCCUGGGGAUGCUCCAUCCAGAGGCCAGGCCCACCCACCCCACCCCCACCGGCCAUCCAGGCAGGGGGAGGUCUGGCCAGCAUGUGCAGGCCAGCAGUCUCCAUGGGAGGGAGCCCUCCAUCACUGGUGUGAGCACCCCUGCUUUCCUCAGGGGGCCUGCCCCACUGCUCUGUCUGGGGUCCCUCCUGCUGCAAAGGAAUCUCCAGGAGGGUGGGGGGCCAGUACCCUCCUCCUCUCCAGGAGCCCACCCUACAGCUCCACUCCUGGGAACGUCCCACACUUCCAAAACUUUGUUUGAGCUCCACUCACUGUGUGCAAAAAACCUGUGACACUCAGUUCCCCCGUCUCCCCAGUCCCUGGUCCAAGAGGUUUUCUUGUUCAAACCCGACACCACGCUCUCUCAACUCCUCUCUCCAUUUCCUUUUCUCUCCCCACAGAAAGGGCUCCCUCCCCACCACAGCAGGGCAGCUUUUCUCUUCCCCAAUUCCUUUCCAGGCACCUUGCACCUGCCCCACUAUCUCCCUCCAAUGGUGGACAUCCUUCUUCCUAUCUUUGCAUCGAUUUCCUGUGUGUUCCAAGCGAUGUGGCCUCAAUACAGCUGUGUUCCAGGGGCCAGGAAGGCCCAGGGUCCCCCUACUUCACCAUCUUAACUCCUCCCAUAGUUUACAAGAUUCCAUUUAAAUAAAGGCAGACACAGACUCACUCCUAGGGACAUUUUGUUUAUAGCAAGGAGGUUCUGCAAAGCAGUGACAGAGGGUACUUCUGAGUAAAUGGUCCAGGGUCAACUGGUUACCAUAUGGGAAAAAAAUUCACCUUUACUCUUAUCUCAUACCAUGAACAAAAAUCAAUGCCAGGUGGAUCUCAAAUAAAAUGUGGAAGUUUGAGAGAAUAAUAUUUUUAAAAGGUACCUUAGGAAAUAAUUUCAAGAUCCUGGGGCCAGCAAAGAUUUAUUGGAGCAUGAAGUGUACUAAACACAAAGAAAAAAUUGAUUAAUUGGGAAUCAUUUAAAUGAACGCCUAUUUUUAUCAAAAGACACCUUUAAGAGUAAAAAAGGCAGGCACAGAAUGGGGAUACACAUUUGUCAUCUUUUUACUGGACAAAGUGACGUGGGAAACAAAGGCAGAAGGAAAUGGACAUAAAAUUAAAUGUCCUAACCUGCAGCCCAUUGACAAAUACUUGAGGCAGGCAGAGUAUAAGAUUCCUCCAGGAAAGUCCCAACUGUCUUAAUGGUAAUGCCUUGCUAGACGGAAAAACAACCUUAGCUUGACCAUAGCAAGGCCUCCAAAAUCCUGUGAGUCCUCUUUAGCAUAUGAAAAUCCAUUUAUAACUUCCUUUGUCUUUACUUCCCCCAACCCCAAAGUGUAUAAUCAGUUGCUCCUCACAAUCCCUGGACAGCAGCUCUUCCUGCCAGGGGUCCUGUUCCCCUGAUUUAAUAAAACUGCCCUUUUGUACCAAAGAGGUCUCAAGAAUUGUUUCUAGGCCAUUGGUUCUAGACCCCUACACCACUACUACAAGCCACAUCAAAAGGACUCGUAUCUAGGAUACGUACCCACCGUAUUGCUCAACAUACAGACAAUCCACCAGAAAACAUGGCAUAAGAUCUGACGAGGCAUUUAGCAAGAAAGGUAGCCAAAUGGUAAGAAGUGUAUGAAAGGGUGCCCACAUCAUUCCUUCUCAAGGAAAUACAAACAGAAUCCACAGUGAGACACCUCCACACAUAGACCCCAUUGCUGAAACAUGCUGAGCACACCUCAUGUUGGUGAGGAUGUGGACCCACCGCAACUCUCACACCCCGCUGUGAGUGUGAACUUGGAAAUCUCUUUGGUACGAUCUCCCAAGAUCGACACACACUUAUUCCCUGACCCGCCCAUUCCACAGUAGGCGCACACCCAACCCAGAUGCGCCCUUUUGUGCGGGCAGGGCUCAGAGCAGCGUUCUUCUGCCUGUCAGCACAGUGAGAACAACCCAAAAGUGGCUCAGUCGCCGCGUGGGUAAAUGAAGCGAGUGACAUGCUUUAGAGUGGAAUACUCUACGGAAAUAAAAAUCAACUGAGCCCCAUCCAAGAAGAGGGGUGAGUCUCAGAAGCAUGACGAAAUAGCCAGGCAUGACAGCGGACGCUCUGUCUGAUUCCAUUCCAUGAAGGUCAGAGACGAGAAAACGAAAUUUGGAGGUGACAGUAUGGGGCCCCCUUUGGGAAGAGAGGAAAGGGACGUGGGAUGCGCGCAUCAGGGGGUGUCCGGCGAGUUAGCAGUGAGGAGUCCUGUGGGUUCUGUUUCCCGCUGCGCUCCCCUCGGACGGUUUGUGCCGUGCUGCAAGUAUGAGUCCCAGACCGUUGGUAUGUGUGCUCUGCUCCAGCCUGCAAACCCAAUCACACGAUGAUAAAGUGCUUUUCUGGUUAGUCCCAAGGCCAGAUUGCACAGUGCCGGGCUCCGGACUCUGGCAUCUUGGGGCACAGAUUCAUAUCCUGGGCCUAACCUCUUCCUUUCUGGAGACCCUGGCUAACUGAUGAACUCUGGGAUUCAGCUUUUUCAUGGGUCAGAUUUGGUACCUCUGUCUUCUUUAGUGAGAGGAUUAAGUCCUUGCUGGUGCUCCGCAGGAACUCCAUAAAUAUGGCUCCAUGUUUGUUCUUGCCUCCCUCCCUCUUGGGCUGGGGAGGUGGUAGAUGGUGGCUUGUGCCAGAUGCAGGAGCGUGAUGGGGAUGGAGUCCACGUGUCUUCCAGGGGAGGACCAUGGAGAACCUCCCAGGGCCUGCUGCCCACCACACUCCCGGUCUCAGGCUGCUCCCCAUCUGUAAAGACAUGGUGAACUAACCAGGUGAUCUCUAGCUGGUUAGUCCCACUAACUACCACACCGAGGACCCAGGAGCCUCCUUUGUAGGACACGCUGCGCACCUUAGGAUCCGGGACCCCUGCUCAGAAAGGAUUCUCUUGUGCUAGGGCCCCCAGAGCAAGGCAGGAAAGGUGCCCUGUGCACUUUGGCGACUAUGGAGCUGAAGUUGUUCUGUGUCCUUGACCAUGUGGUUACUCCUGGGAGGGUGUCGGCCCUGCUGGAGAAGAGUCUCUCUGUAGCGUGGCUCUGGGUCUUUGUGUCCCACAGUUUCCACCCAGAGAGGGGGGAGGGACAAGGAAUGGCGGGGCUGGGGACGCAGGCGCCCUCACCCAGAGGGCUCAGGUGAUCUGGCCUGAGAAGUGCCAUCGGCUCUCCCAGGGCCCCUGGGGCAAAGGGUUGGGAGCUGCAGGCUCUGCAGACCAUGCACAGGAUGUCCAAGGUGCACUCGCCACCCCUCGAGAACCCAGGUGAACACACACGUGUCCUGGCUGCACGUGCCUUGGAGUCGCUCACUCCAAGCUCCCUGACUGACAAGAAGAAACUGAGGCUGCCUCUCUUCUGGCUGCCCGCACACUAGGGGGUUCCUCCCAGUUUUAGACGGAAAGGGGAGUGGAAACAGAACCCUAGCCCCUUGAGCUCUUGACGGUGCCUAGGGAUGGCCCCAGCCCAUGUGCCCCAUGGCCAUUUGGCAGACAUCCCGGCCAUCAGCUUGGCAAGUCUCCCCUCCUCAUAUUCAGGGCGCUGAGCAUGUUGCGAGGACUCGGGAUGCCCCUGCCCCAUGGCCCAGCUGCCUCAGACCUCUUUCUUCUCUCCCCCUUGUCACCUCUCCCGUAUGCACUCCCCUUUUGAUGCCCAGCUGGGCAGUCAGUGUGUGUGUGUGUGUGUGUGUGUGUGUGUGUGCGUGUGUAUAACUGUGCCAGGUGGGGAUGCCCAGAGAAAAGGGCCCCCCAUGGAAGGGUGUGGGCAGGGGGCCCCAAAACCUCAGAUGCUCCCAUUCCCAGUGCAAACCCCAUGGGAGGGUGGAGCCCUGGUCUAGGAGGAGGGAACCCUCUCUUCUUCUUGGACUCUACUCACCUUGAGUGUCCUGGGCCAGUCUCUGCCUCUUCCCUGGCCUCAGUUUCCCAAUUGUCCCCUGAGGAACUGGCAUUGCACCUUAAGCCUGAAGACAUUCUGGAAGCAGAAUUCCCUCUUCCUCCAGGGACCUCAGUCCGUUUCCUUGAAUGGCCUUCCACUGAUUGCAUGUGGCCCACCCAAGCCAAAGAGGGUCGGGCUCCCUGAUGAAGCUCAGCUGGUGGCCACGAUGAAUUACUAGCUCGUAGGUCAAGGAAUGAGGGAGCCAGUGAAACCACAGAAGCCAGGACCAUGCACCAGGAGCCGUGAUUUGGGUGGGGAUGGAGGGCAUCCCAGCAUGGGCCCUGAAUGGUCCACGGGGUGCGUCCAGCUGUCCUCCGGCCACUGAGCCUCCUUUGCCUGCAACACGCUCUUGUCCUAGAUCUUCUCCAUCUCAUCCCCAAACCAGGCUGAAUAUCCUGGGAGCAAAGCAACAGCAAGGGCCCCUGAGGAGGGUCUUCCUGGACUCUGUGUCCUUGAGGACUACUGGGACAGCCUGGCAGUGGCUCAAAAUACCUCCCAGGCACUGGGCGAGGGAUGCACAAGUCAUUCCACAGGAAAUUCUCCUACAAGCCUUCAGCAGGCCCAGUUACUUCCUCAUUUCCCAGAUGAGGCUGAGAGAUGUGCCCAGGGUCACAGAUUGGAAAGAGGAUGAGCAGGGACUAGGAACCCCACCUAUCUGAUGCUGGGGACUAUGUUCCUUCCUAAGCACUGCUGCACAGUGGUGCCUGGAGCUGGGCAAGAGUGGCCAGGGAAGGGCCAGCCUUGGGCUCUGUGGCUAUGCCCAGGACCUGGUCCAGCCUGUCUGCCCCCUGGCAGCAUGAGGCUUAUGUGGGCACCAGACCAAAGGUUCCCAGGACCCAGCUUCAGGGUGCAGUCUCCCGGUGAGGUGGGCCACGCAGAGUCCUCAGGCCCUGGGUUCAAAUCCUGGCUCUGCCCUCUGCUGGGUGCAAUUGGGCAAGUCUCCUGAAGCCUCAGUGUUCCCAUCAGCGACAUGGAACAAUGAUCCCUCUUUCCUCAUGGAAUUAUCAGGGCGAUUCAGUGAGGUGACACAUGUGGGAAAGAGUGGACAAGGAGACUGUGGAUGUGCUAGACUGCAGACAGGACUUCACAUCAGUUUUCCACGAGAGGGAGACUGAAAAUAAACAAGGAGGAUGGUCACAGAUGUUCCCAACAGCUCCGUGAUGCAGACAAAACAGUGGAAUGGCCCCUGGUCCAGAGCCCAGACUCUGGGCAAAUUCUUAUGCAGUGACAGAAAAAGCCUGGGAGGAGGGGAAUGGAGGGGCCAGCGUCCACCCAUUGGAAAAGCAGGUUGCAGGAAGAGCACAUGCUCCGGUGCCCACCCUGCCGCACACGAACACACAGGUGCCCCCAUACACGUGCGUGCUCUUCCGGGAAGGGGGGUGCGUGCCCAGUGACCCCCAAAGGCUAAAGGAGCUGGGAGACUGAAGAAAAGGAGACAGGUCCUGUUGACAAGAAAUGAUU